rnacentral:tRNA from 1 species
AGCGAAAAAGAAAAAUGGUUUUUCGUGAGGCUCAUAAUCUCAAGACUGUAGGUUCGAAUCCUACUUUCGCUC